rnacentral:rRNA from 1 species
CAGUCCGCGGGAAUACGUAGGUGGCAAGCGUUGUCCGGAAUUAUUGGGCGUAAAGCGCGCGCAGGCGGCCUAUCCAGUCUGUCUUAAAAGUUCGGGGCUCAACCCCGUGAUGGGAUGGAAACUAGUAGGCUAGAGUAUCGGAGAGGAAAGCGGAAUUCCUAGUGUAGCGGUGAAAUGCGUAGAUAUUAGGAAGAACACCAGUGGCGAAGGCGGCUUUCUGGACGAAAACUGACGCUGAGGCGCGAAAGCUAGGGGAGCAAAUGGGAUUAGAUACCCCCGUAGUCCCUGUCUCUUAUACACA